rnacentral:lncRNA from 1 species
ACACAGGAGGCACAAUCAGCACCGGGCAGGCGAUGGCUGCCGCGCCACGGCGGCCACACGGCAACCCCGCGUUUCCACGGCGGCCACACGGCAACCCCGCGUUUCCACGGCGGCCACACGGCAACCCCGCGUUUCCACGGCAGCACAGGACUGCCGUGACGGUAAACUCCCAAGCAGCCACCUGGGCGGUCCAGAAGCAGCUGAUGACAGCCCUGGAUGCUCUGUGCCACCUGCACACGCGUGUGGACACGCACGCUCACAGGGAAGGGGCUGCCCUUGGCUUCUUGCACACCCAGGAGCCGAGAGGCUUCCUCAGAGCAGCACAGCAGACAAGACCAACCUAAGACUGAAAUCUUGUCAAUAUGGGGAAAGAAGCCAGGAAAAGAGAAGCUGUAAACAGAACUGGGACCGGGUGCCUGAGGGUGGAGGUUGCCCGGGGCCACCUGGGCAAGGGGACUGGCGGGGAUGCAAAAGGCUCUGCCUGCUCUGAUGCCAAAGGGUUGGUGACCUUCAGAAAACGACCCAAGGCUCCGCCGCCAGCCACUGUGUGAUGGAAGUGCUCGGUGGCCCAGCACCUGCUCAGGUGACUGCAGCGAAACCCAGAGGAGCAGGUGCUUCCUGGAGACGCGGUCUCUGGGGAGGGCCUGUGUUUGUCACAUUUGACGAUGGCCGAGGCCCUCAGUCAGACCCCAAAUUCACUCCAACUGAGGAAGAGGAGGCAGGCCCUGACCCCCGCAGACCCCGGGGUGGGAACAGCCAAGGGCACGGAGGCACAGACAGCAGAGGGCGGCGUGUGGAGGCUGCCGUUACCUUCUCAUGUUUUUAAUGUAACAGCCAGCAGCAUGUUUACGAAACUCAUGCUCCUUCAAGUAUACACAUGAAACACAAGCCAUGGGACGUGUGGCGCUGUUCGCAGAGGUCGGGGCUGGGUGGGGGGCUGGGACACGGAGACCCCAACCGCGUGCUCAGGCCCCAGCGUUACUCGGGCCCCUGAUGACCCUAAAUGACUGGGGUGAUGCAGGCAUCCCUGCCGAGGGCGGCACUUGGUAUCUGGGGAGAGGGUUGGCGGGAGUCGCAUCUAUAAAGUUUCAUUUUUAUAAUCAUAUGACUUAGUUUAACAAGCAGGAGAAAAAUCCAUUGUAUUACUUCUUUUGUUAAAAUAAUUAAUUAUAGCUCAGCACCUAACUUAGCCAAAUUGAUUGAAUCACAUUAACAAUGAAAUCUUAAGAGUGUUAAAGACAGAAAACUGAAGACAACUUGAGGUCCAGGCUCUUUCAUUUACAAAUAAUGAAACAGCUGAGGCCCAGACACCCAUGCAGAGGGGCCAUGCCCUCCCCGCACCCCUGCUCCCCACCCCACUGGGCCCUGUGCCCAGGGGCCACACUUUCUCCUGGCAGCAGGUCUGUGUUGUUUAAUUAACUGCAGUUCAUUGGGAAGAAGCAGAAGCCAUGGCACAUGGGCGUCUUCCUGCCUUUGCCCCGCAUCAGAGCUGCCCCAGGGGAGCUGAAGCUGCCGCCGGAGGGGCCAUGAGUGCUGUCAGUGGGCGGGGCCUGGGCUGCCCCCAGAGCACUGUGGGUCUGGGCCAUCUCCUGGGCUGACCCGGGAAGCUCUGGCCACCCGGAGCCUGUCUCGGCAUUUGUACGGGGGAUAAAGAGACGCUUCCUCCAAGGCUGUUUUCUGAAUUCAGCAGUGCUCAGGGCAGCUGCGAUGGAGUCAGCAGCUACACCAGUGCCGGGCUGCUGCCUGGGUGGAGGGUGGAGAGGAAAUGUGAGUCACACAGGACCCCAGAGCCGCCCAGCCAAGCCCUGGCCAUGCCAGCCCGGGAGGCCCGAGGUCCCCACGCAAAUUACCCACCAGAUGAACCCACUCGAUAGAGCCUGGCAUCCCUCUCUCCUCUAGGAAAAAAAUUACAGGAAACUAAAAAGUACACUCAGUUGCGCUUGAAGCCAUCUGAGUUUCAUGAAGCAGCAAGUCCUCCAGGCCCUGGAAAGCUCAGGAGCUGGGAAGAAAGAGGCGUUUUCACUCCAGCACAGGUGCUGAUGCCACAGGAUUCCCAGAAGCCCCCAGCCCAGAUGCACCACUCAGAAGCCCCUCCACCCCCACUUCAUAAAAAUCCAAAUCACUCUGUGUGUAACUAAGUCUUCUGGUUGUUUGGCACCUUUUGAAAAUGACUUUUGAACUUUUCUUAUGACAAAGUCCAUCUUUGGGGUGAGGCCCCGUCCACACCCCACAAAAGGCUGUGGUCCUCUGAAGCUCCCGGGCGCAACAGGCUAUAGUUUGCUUCCCGCCCAGCCCAGGAAGCUCAGAGUCACAACUUCAGCUUCCCUAGGAACUUCCCUGACGCUGUGGAGGCCUUUGGCACUGGCAAGGGGAGGGAGGUUCAGUGACUGUGCUGAGCAGGAGGGACACUGAGGCGCACACGGGGCCAGGAUGUCGCGUUUAAUGACACCCCGAGGGGACGCCAUUUUUGCAGCCGAGGCCAACACAGCCUGCUCCUCUCUUUAUGUCCCGAGAAGCAAGAGGGACUCCAGCCGUCUCCCCCGCGGCCUCCUCCAGGUGGCUGCCCCGCAGCGGUGAGUCCAUGAAAAGCAAAUGGAACGACGGCAUGGAGGCGUCUUUUCCCACCCGUGCCUCGUGGGCCUGUGGGGAACCAUCCUUGCCGGAGCGGCCCCAAGGGGAGCCACGUCUGCGUGGCCAGCCAGGCCCAGCUCAGCAGCUGCCAUGGAGCAGCCUCCACCGCACACCUGGGAGCACCCGCACCCUGCAAUUCCUGCGCAGGUGGGAGCAGAUACGCUUAGACUUCCCCUAAAAGUGCGGGGAACCGACAAACAUCCCUGCCUUCCUCAAAGACCCCGGCUGAGCCAGCGCCUGUGGCCUUCCCUCUUGGAGGUGGGGCCUCUCCCCGUGGUGUCCGACGUCUGUGGCCGUUUCAGGUCGACCAGGGUGAGGGUGAGGGCAGGCUUUCUGUUUCUGCUUAAGGAUCAUAAAGUAAUUGUCUUUCAAAAGCAAUAGUAUUCACGGCCAGAAAUGUCUAUCUAGCAAUUGCUUCCAGAACAAGACAAAGCGCCGAGACUGCUGAAAGAUGGAAAUAACCUCGCAUCUCAGGAAAGGAGACGCAGGGCCGCGUCCCGCCGGCAAGAGCAUCGCCAUGGCGGCUCCCAGCUCCGUGGAGGCCCGGACGGGCAGCGCCGGCCCCCGUGCUGUUCAAAACUCAGCCCCUGGCAGGAAGGAAGGCAGCCGGUCCUGAAAGGGCCUUUGUGUUCAGCCUUAUCAGAGCUCCGAGUCCUUAGUAGGAAACUGCCCGAGUGCAGGAGUAAAAAUAUUCCAGAUCAUUAGGGAAUUCCCUGCAGUCUGAGUCAUCGGGAGGCUUCCCUGCCACACCCGCGAGGUUUCCACACAGGCAGGCCUGCGGGCCCAGGAGCCUCCCAGACCGGCCAGGACCCGCCGCCCGGAGCCGGGCCACCCCCACGCCGGUGCUGAUGCUGAGCCACUGUUUCCACAAAGAAAGCCACGAGGGCCGCUGGUGGAAGCAGCAGCGUCCCUGGGUCCCACGGUGCCCUCGAGCCCUGCUCCCCACGGCGUCUCCUGCCCUGCUCCCCAAAGCAUCCUCGUGCCCUGCUCCCCGCGGCGUCCUCGUGCCGUGCACCCCACAGCAUCCUCAUGCCCAGAAGCGAGCGUCCCUGGGGCGUCUCAUCCAUCCCCGGCUCUCCCCCAGGAGUCUGUCCCAGCCUGGCUCCCAGAGGAGAUUCUGGAGGGGAAACAGCCACCCAGCCCUGCUGCACAUCUGCCUGCAGGGCCUCACACGGAGCCACCCUGUGACCCACAGCCCUUUCACACCGAGGCAUGUGCUCAGGAGACAGGCAGGCGUCCACACAGGACUCACGCACUGAGGUUCAUGGCGGCUUUUCCACGAUCAUCUCCACAGGGUGGACGUGGCCUAGUGCCAUCGACAGACAGGUGUGGGCAGCCACACGGUGGGCUUCCCUCAGCCACAGAAAGACCCCACGUCCCGACCUGUGCCAACGAGGGGACCUGAGGACCCUACGCCCUGACCCACACCAACGAGGGAACAUGGAGGAUGCCACGCUCCACAGAAGCUGCCAGGCACCACAGCCGGCAGGAUGGGGUUCCCCAGCAGGCCAGCAGGGAGCAGCCAGACCAGGCGAGGCCACGGCGAGGGGGCAUUGGGGUUGUCGGAGCCGGGGUGGGGGAAGGGAGAGCAGGGGUGGCCACUCAUGGGCAAGGGUUUCUUUCUGGGGACAAGAAAAUGUUCUGAAAUUGGUGGUGGCCGCAUAAUUAUGUGAAGCCACCAAAACCCACCGAAUUAUACACUUUGAGUGAAUUAAAUGGUGUAUAGAUCAUAUUUCGAUAAAGCUGAUAUAAAAAAGAAACUAGCCAACAUGACCAUGGGUGACUUUGUCGUGUAUGAUCCCAAAAGGCCUGAGAAGGGAGAGGAGGGAGGGGAGCCAGAAGCCCGGCCCCUCCUCCUGCAGUGGGGACUGACGUGACGCGUGGCCUCCCCACACCAGCGGGGCCCAGGCAGGGGGAGUCUGAGAGUCGCCCCUAGCGCUAUCCAGAAUGCGGCUUGAUGAGAACUGUGGGGUCAUCACUCAAUUCUAGGGGUCCUGGACCAUCUGGGCCACUGAGCCAUCCUCAGGGCAUGAGGAAGACACGGGCAGGUGUCUCUUCCCCGGGCGCUGCCCUCCUUGCCUUCCCUGUGUGGUCUCUGGGAGCAAACAGAGAAGCCUGGGGGUUCAGCCCGGCCACCUGUCCUGCUCCCAAAGACGCCAUGUGGUGACAAAGCAGCCCCAACUCUCCUCUCUCGGAGCACACGGCGACAGUGAUGUCUGUCCACACUCACAGGCGCCCAGCAAUGUCACCUUCUCCCUGAAAACACAAAUCUGAAAGAUCUGCAUUUGGCCUUUAAACUGUUGGGAUGGACACCUCUGAAGGUGUUGUCAUUGCGAUGCUGCCUUCGGGGCCAGCAUCCAACAUCUUCAGGAGGUGACAGCUGAGCUGCUCCACACAGGGAGGCUGCCCGUGCCGCGGACGCUGGAGCUGGGAAUUCCCAGCUGUGUCCUCCUUGCUCACCCAGCCCCGUCAGAGGGCACACCACGGAGAUGCCACAGAGGCAGCCAUCCCCCGGGUCCAUCUCCCUCGGCCUACAUCCCGCACGAC